rnacentral:rRNA from 1 species
GAUGAAUGCUGGCGGCGUGCCUAAUACAUGCAAGUCGAGCGGCAGCGCGUCUAGUUUACUAGAUGGCGGCGAGCGGCGGACGGCUGAGUAACGCGUAGGAAUGUGCCCCAAAGUGAGGAAUAACUGCCCGAAAGGGUAGCUAAUGCCGCAUAUGGUCUUCGGAUUAAAGGAUUUAUCCGCUUUGGGAGCAGCCUGCGUACGAUUAGAUAGUUGGUGAGGUAAUGGCUCACCAAGUCGACGAUCGUUAGCUGGUCUGAGAGGAUGAUCAGCCAGACUGGAACUGAGACACGGUCCAGACUCCUACGGGAGGCAGCAGUAAGGAAUCUUCCACAAUGGGCGAAAGUCUGAUGGAGCAACGCCGCGUGCAGGAUGAAGGCCUUCGGGUUGUAAACUGCUUUAUGAGUGAAGAAUAUGACGGUAACUCAUGAAUAAGCACCGGCUAACUACGUGCCAGCAGCCGCGGUAAU